AACGGCCGUACCAUGCUGAAUAUACCGGUUCUCGUUAGAUCACCGACGUCAAGCAUCAUUGGGCGCGGUCAGUAUUUGGGUGGGUGACCACCUGGGAACACCGCGUGCCGUU
rnacentral:rRNA from 1 species